rnacentral:rRNA from 1 species
UACGUGGGGGGCAAGCGUUGUCCGGAAUCAUUGGGCGUAAAGCGCGUGUAGGCGGUCCGGUAAGUCCGCUGUGAAAGUCGGGGGCUUAACCCUCGGAUGCCGGUGGAUACUGUCGGGCUUGAGUACGGAAGAGGCGAGUGGAAUUCCUGGUGUAGCGGUGAAAUGCGCAGAUAUCAGGAGGAACACCAAUUGCGAAGGCAGCUCGCUGGGACGUUACUGACGCUGAGACGCGAAAGCGUGGGGAGCAAACAGG